rnacentral:rRNA from 1 species
GAUGAACGCUAGCUACAGGCUUAACACAUGCAAGUCGAGGGGUAACGAGAGGAAAGCUUGCUUUCCUUGUCGACGACCGGCGCGCGGGUGAGUAACGCGUAUCCAACCUGCCCCCAACUAAGGAAUAACCUUGCGAAAGUAAGACUAAUACCUUAUAAUUUCCUCAGAUGUCAUCUGACGAGGAAUAAAGAUUUAUCGGUUAGAGAUGGGGAUGCGUCUGAUUAGCUUGUUGGCGGGGUAACGGCCCACCAAGGCAACGAUCAGUAGGGGUUCUGAGAGGAAGGUCCCCCACAUUGGAACUGAGACACGGUCCAAACUCCUACGGGAGGCAGCAGUGAGGAAUAUUGGUCAAUGGGCGGAAGCCUGAACCAGCCAAGUAGCGUGCAGGAUGACGGCCCUAUGGGUUGUAAACUGCUUUUAUACAGGAAUAAAGUUAGCCACGUGUGGUUAUUUGUAGGUACUGUAUGAAUAAGGACCGGCUAAUUCCGUGCCAGCCGCCGCGGUAA